rnacentral:rRNA from 1 species
AGAGUUUGAUCCUGGCUCAGAUUGAACGCUGGCGGCAUGCUUUACACAUGCAAGUCGAACGGUAACAGGGUGCUUGCACCGCUGACGAGUGGCGAACGGGUGAGUAAUGCAUCGGAAUGUACCGUGUAAUGGGGGAUAGCUCGGCGAAAGCCGGAUUAAUACCGCAUACGCCCUGAGGGGGAAAGUGGGGGACCGUAAGGCCUCACGUUAUACGAGCAGCCGAUGUCUGAUUAGCUAGUUGGUGGGGUAAAGGCUCACCAAGGCUUCGAUCAGUAGCGGGUCUGAGAGGAUGAUCCGCCACACUGGGACUGAGACACGGCCCAGACUCCUACGGGAGGCAGCAGUGGGGAAUUUUGGACAAUGGGCGCAAGCCUGAUCCAGCCAUGCCGCGUGUCUGAAGAAGGCCUUCGGGUUGUAAAGGACUUUUGUCCGGGAGCAAAUCCCAGUGGUUAAUACCUACUGGGGCUGAGAGUACCGGAAGAAUAAGCACCGGCUAACUACGUGC